GAUGAACGCUAGCGGCAGGCCUAACACAUGCAAGUCGAGGGGCAUCGCGGUGCAGCAAUGCACUGGCGGCGACCGGCGUACGGGUGCGUAACGCGUAUGCAACCUGCCCCGCACCGGGGGAUAGCCCGCCGAAAGGCGGAUUAAUACCCCAUGGUCCCGGGGGCCCGCAUGGGCGAUCCGGGUAAAGCCUUGGCGGUGCGGGAUGGGCAUGCGUGCCAUUAGCUGGCUGGUGGGGUAACGGCCCACCAGGGCAACGAUGGCUAGGGGGUCUGAGAGGAUGGUCCCCCACACUGGUACUGAGACACGGACCAGACUCCUACGGGAGGCAGCAGUGAGGAAUAUUGGUCAAUGGGCGGAAGCCUGAACCAGCCAUGCCGCGUGCGGGAUGAAGGCCCUACGGGUUGUAAACCGCUUUUCCCCGGGAAGAAUAACCCCGAUGAGUCGGGGGAUGCCGGGUACCGGGGGAAUAAGGAUCGGCUAACUCCGUG
rnacentral:rRNA from 1 species